AUCCAAGAACCUGAAAAACCUGUCCCCUUUAAUUUCAAAUAAAAAUCGUCGUAACGUUGAAAACCCAAAGAAAAAUCACUUUCUCAUGGAGAGUAAGAAAAUUAUUUUCGAAUCCUUCAAAAUCGUAUCUGAUUAGAAAACGUUUUAAACGUUCGUCUCGAAGAAAAGCAACUACUUUUUACAACGAAUCCACGAGGGAUCUACGUUCGAUCCAGUGUGUGAUAAUUAACAGUAAGGUGCUCGAGAUAUGAGGAAUUGUACGCAGUCGAGAGAACAGGUGAACACGCAACGGAGGAGGGAGAGAGAGAGAGAGAGUGGCGCAACACGCGGGGCGAGGGGCGAGGAUCCUGGCCAGGUUGCAAGGACGAGUGAUCCUGCAUUACGAGUGGCUGUCAUUAAAGGCGAGUUCUCAAUAUCGAGAUCGAGCCGCGAGUUACAGGUGCAUCCGUCUCUCCGUGCGUGCGUGUGUUCCUCUCCAUCUUCUCGCUGUUCCCUUCCUUCCAUCCACAUUUUUCCAUCACUUGCCGCCACGGGAUCAUCAUCUCGGCGAAGAGAAGAAAGUUCGAAGUCGAGUCGAGUCGAGUCGAGUCGAGAUGAUGAUCGACAAGGAUAGAUAUUUUGAGAAAUAAUGUUUUUUACACGACCAUUCCUUUCUUCUUUUUUUGGAAUGUAAUCGGUUUUUGGAAAGUUGAGAAGAUGCAUUUUAAAAAAAGUUGAAUGGAGAGACAAAUUAACGAAAUAAUGGUUAACAGACUGGUGUCAAUAGCAAUAACAAGAGCAACACAACGCCGCACAAGGCCAAUUAAUCUUGCUAUUAAAUCGCGUCACCGCUCGCCGCGAAAUUUUUGCAAAUCACGUUUUCCCGUGUACUUUUUUUUCCUUCUUCUUUUUUUUUUUCUUUCUUUUUUUUAUCGCUCGACUAUUACCGUAACGUUUAGCCGUCUAAUUGGCCGGUUCAUGCGCGCGUAAUUGCUCGUGCAUAUGCAGUCGGGACACUUUUAACCCAGUCCACGCACAGAGAACGCACGGAGAUCCUUCGAGUAUUGUGGAGAUUCAAUUUCAUUUCAAUUUAUAUAUAUAUACAUAUCUUAUACCUGGAGAUAUGCUUGCACGGGAAAGAAAGAUCGUCGAUCGAUAAAAAAGAAAAAAUGUGGAAAGUGGUAUCGAAUACGAGAAGAGGAGAUAAUAUACGCGAUAUAAAUAUAAAUUAUACAAGUUAUAUUUUUAUAAAAAGAUUGUUGCAAAAAAGAAUUCUUUUUUUUUUUUUUUUUAUUUAUGCAUUCUCGUCGUCUAGAAAUAAGCGAAAAAAGUUUCAUACGAAUUGCAAAUUUAUCCGCUUUUUAAUUACAUUCUUUCGCUCGAUUCGAAUCGAAAGGUGGGGAUAGAAGAAAUUUGUAUAAUAUUUCAAGUUUAGAAUUGGAUCGAAUUAAUGUUGAUCCGAUGUCGAUCGAGAGAAGGAGGGAAUACGCAUGUAUAUAUUCGCUGCGAACGAGUUACAAUCGAUCGAACGAGAAAACAGAGAAUGAACGAAGGGGAUAAAUCGAUUGGGAGCAGAGAAACAACCGUGAUACAUUUAUAAUAAUUGCCGACUAGUAGUUUGACACCAAUUUCACGAUCUUGUGAUAUUAUAUACUAGAACGAUACCUAACCUUUGAACACUGGUAUAAUUUAAAACUUGACGUAUUUGAAUAAGCACGAUUCCGCACGUUGCAUCGUUUCCACGGCGCAAUUAUUUUUAUUAAGUUUAAUUAAAAAAAAUACUUGGAAUGUCGCUCCUCCCCAUCCCCAGUUUCAUCAUUCUGAAAUAAUGUAUUCGUAAAUAAAUAUAAAUAUACUGUCA